rnacentral:lncRNA from 1 species
CACUGUGGGGAGAGCACCAGCCCCACCCCUGCCUCCUCUUGUUACCAACCGCCCCCGAGCCCGUCUCGUCUCCCAUCCCGGAUGAUUUGUGUGUGCCUGGGGACAAGCUCCUCCCAAACACAGCGUCUGCAGCGUGGUGAGAGGAACACACUCGACAAACAUAUCCUCUGGCACAGCCUGCGCUUACUCCAGCUGCGGGUGCGGGUGUGGGGACAGGGGCACCUGGCUGGACAGAUUGAUGUGGCAUUGCUUGGAAGCAUCCAGGCAAAAGAGGAGGGCUUAGUAGAGGAGAGAAUCCAUUGUUUGUGCGGUCGGCAAGGGACCUUUCUUUUGUGUCUUGUGCUUCGACCUGCCUGGGGUUCCGAAUCCAGGCACUUGGGAGCGGAAGGUCCAUGUCUAAGCAAGCGCACCCGUGGACGGCAGCCUGCCCGCUCUCUUGCUCUGUCUCUUGUCCACCCAGCCAGAAUCAGCAAACCGUCACAUUCACUUCACCGCCACCUUCACUGGGAUCCCCACACACAGCGGCAGCACACAGGGGAUCCUGUCAGCGGCAGCCGCUCCAGCAUCCCCGUUCGCCGCAGCUGCUCCAGCAUCUCCAGCCCACCGUCAGCUUCAACUAAGCCUAGAAAAGUGUCUAAUGAUCCUAACCGAAGGAUUCAUUCUGCUGGCUAGAGGUGAACUGACAAGCAAAACCAAAGGCGUGUUAGCUCACUCCUGCCUGCUCCUUGGUGACCAACGACGGCGUCCUGAACUGUGUCUGAAAAAGGUGCAGGGAGGCGUUUCUCCUGGUUCUUUUCCAUUUGACAUCUCAGCGCCUCCCAGCCCUCCCUUUGCUGGAGUACCUUGGCAUGGUCUUUGGCAGGCCGGAGUGGCGAUGUCACGCGGUGCUGCGGGGCUCCCUUCCCGCCACUGAGAGGAUGCUGUUCCUUAGAUCUGUCCAAAAAUCACUUCUUCCUCCCCCCCCCCCCCCACGCUCAGAGACCUGCCUCAAACAGUGUAAAAUCCAUGAGUGACCGUGAGGCUUUCCCAAGGGGAUGUGGGCCGUGCCAAUACCGAUCUGCGACUCAGAUCACAUCAUCCUGUUCAAGACGCCGUAAAUAUUUUCUUUGCAUUUCACCCUUAAAGCAAAGUCCAUCCCAUUUGUAAACACUAGGGGGCGCCAUUUGGACACAUUGGUGCAGACCACUGCCAUUCCCUGCUACCAGAGAGGUAGAAAGGAUGCACAAAGCAACUCCAUUCAUCAAUGUCAGAGAGUGAGGCCAGGCUCCUAGACCGUGCUGUCUCCCUGCGCAGUCUAGAGAUGCAAUGGUGGCAGAGUUGCAUGUGACCCAUCAAAGGGCCAAUCCCUGCUACCCAGGGGUGCUGGAACCGGGGGGGGGGGCGGCCCCCCGCUCCCCCCCCCCCCCCCCCCCCCC